UCGGAGAGUUUGAUCCUGGCUCAGGACGAACGCUGGCGGCGUGCCUAAUACAUGCAAGUCGAGCGAACAGAAGGGAGCUUGCUCCCGGAUGUUAGCGGCGGACGGGUGAGUAACACGUGGGUAACCUGCCUGUAAGACUGGGAUAACUUCGGGAAACCGGAGCUAAUACCGGAUAGUUCCUUGAACCGCAUGG
rnacentral:rRNA from 1 species